UUCGUCUAUUAUUUUUGAUAAGUCAAUAUUUCUGAUAUUUCAUGUUCAAUAGAAAUAAGUGCAAGACUACUUAGUUUUUCCUGGGACAUCGUAGAUCGGAGAUAAUUUUUAAUUAUUUUGAGUUUCGAGAAUCUUCUUUCGGCAGAUGCUGCGGAAACCGACGGGGUUAAAAAAAUUCUCAAUGCAAUAGUAAACUUUUGGAAACAAGGUAACAAGUCAGCAUCUACAAUCUUUUGUGAAACUUGAAAAGGAUUGUUCGAUAACGUCAAGAAAAAUUUCCCGAUACGACAUUAUCUCAUGAUGUAAUUGAAUACCAUCAAAAUCGCUUUUUAACACAUUAUUUUCAUUUGAUUGGAAUUUCACAUCCAAAUUCAUACAUGAUUUCAUUAAGGACUUUCGGCCGCCUCUCUAAAUCCACAAGUAGAUUCAAUUUCAAUUGAAAGCUCUAAUUAAGCAUGGAACUGAAAAACGUGCACCAGUAAGUAAAUAAAGAAAGAAAAUAGGUUUGUAGUAUCAUGGUAACGAUAUGAUAAUUCGUGACUUUAGUCAAAUGUUUUCUUAAGGUCCUUUUAGACGGUCGUAUCUGUUCUCAGUUCAGUUUCAAUUUCCAUUAUCGUUUCAUUUCAUUUCGGAAAACUAGAUUCUUUUACACGAUGCGUUCAGUUCUCACUGUUCCCAAUCGUUUCAGUUCUUUGUAACCCGUUGAGUUGCGCGCAAAAAUUCAUUAAUUAAAAGUGUUCAACACAUAUAUUGUUCAUUCCGGUUUAAAAGUGUACAUUUGUGGUAUCACAAUUCAUGGAUGAAGUGACUGACUGUCUUAUUGCAACAGCUUUAGUUUCGAUUCUAAAGAAAAAGCUUGGACAUAGCGACAGACCUAUACGUACACCGUACAAAAUUUUCAAGAAAACUGACGCGAGUCGUGACGCUCUUGUUUUUACAUAUAGGAUUUCUGACAAAUGAAAUGAAACAAAUAGGUCUAUUCAUCCCGUCAGUUUUCAGUCUUCGUUUCAGUUUUCCUUUCACUGUUUACUUUUUAAACAUAGGAAAAACUGACAGUUCGAGUGAAACUGAAACUGAACUGAGAACAGAUAUGACCGUCUAAAAUGACCUUUACACGUGUGAUAUCCUCAUGAAUACUACGCAAACAUACGACUCCGCUGCAGCACGUGCAUUUCUUCUUUACUCAGCAAGUAUAAAUAUAUAUCUAUUUUCUUUUCAUAUGACGGUCCAUCGUGAUACUUUAGAACUCCCAUUAUCUGAACAGUAUACAUUUCUUCCUUAACGUUGCAUUUUCUUUCUUAACGAAGCAGAUACGCGCAUAGAAUAUCCGACAACGAUUUUAUUACAAGAAUGUUAUAUUUAUACUGAUUGUAUUCAGAAAAUGGACGAAGUUAGUGACAGUAUCUGUGAAGAUGUGUCUCCCAGAGAUAGAUAAAAUUCACACCUGGACGCAAACUUUCUAACAUUGAAUAAAAGAUAAACAACAUAAAAAUUGAAAGUAUAGAAUAAAAUUGCGUUUUAGAAAUCAAUCAAACGUCGCUAAUAAAUCACUAUACCGUAUUUUUAUUCCAACAGAAUUUUGGAUUUCAAAGAAAUAAUGUGACUGUGCAUGUUUUGUUACUGACAUGUUAUAUUAAUAUUUCGCGAAUUAUUUUCUCGAUGGAUCCAACGAGUUCUCGAAUCAAUCGUCACGCGAUUAUUGUUCAGUGUUUACCCUCCCCCCAUCCUUUGUUCUCUUCUUCGACAGUUAUGUAUCUUCUAUCUUGUAUUGAUCUCAAGUGAUUAACUAUACAUGCAUAGUUAUCGCACUAAUACAUACUUCUUACUUAUUUCCAUCUUCUUAUCAUAACUUUGUCUUACAUGACUUCUACAUUGUUUUUUAAUACUGUUCGCAGUAUCACUUAACUCUCAUAUCUGUCGGGACCUGCUAGUCUCCUUAUAGCUCGGGUACCUCGGGAUCGCUAAACCCGUACUGUAGCUGCGUAUGUAUUCGCAUUCUACAGCCCCUGAGGGUGACAGAUACGGUUAUUUAACAUAAUUUAAUAUAAAGGAAAUAGAAAUUAUUUCAUACUUUUAAGCAAUAAAAUCUAGAACUGGUGUAUGGUGGAGCGAUAUACCGCCCUUUGGCACUGAAAUGGUUAAAAGGAGGUUCGUCUACGUUUAAAGCAAGGAAACAGAGAAUCAUAUGUCGAACGGUUAUAGAGAUGAAAAUUUAUCAGCAAGAUAUAUCAGUUCAGCGAACAUCGAAAUAAUAUCAGUUUCAUUCGGCUGAUGUAAACGGCGCCUAAACAUGACGUUAUCCACUCUGUUAACGACAAGCCUAUGAAAUCUAUUCCAAACAAAUAUCCGGUCAAGAUAUUACAGACGAGGAAAACUUCAUACUCAAAACGCUAGGUUAAUAAUGAAUUAAAAUAACUACUCGGUUUACUUGGAAAAAACCAAAGAGUAACUACCUUAUCAAAUUUAUCUUGCACACUCACAAAAAGAAGAAGACAAGAUUCAACAAGAUUCAGGCCAAAUAAUAAUAUAAUUCUAUUUAUAAGGAGUCACUGAAAUUUUUGUUUGUUUUAUUGGAUGGAUCUGAGCGAAAGUAAAGUUUGAGAAACACUAUAUUUAUUAGAUGAUCUACUAUGUACCAAAUACCUCGUUCAUAUUUUGAUAGUUUUGUAGACAUUUCUAUAUUCUGCAUAAAGUUUUAAAUUUUGUUUAUAAAUGUUUCGUGAAAUAUUGAACUUGUGAAAGUGAUAGACACACCUCUAUUCACUUUCUGUCAGGUAUAUUCGAUCGUUUUAAAUAAUUUUCGUUGUUAUAAUCUGUAUAAUCUGAUCGUUUUAAAUAAUUUUCGAUUUAAUGAUGUUCACAAACAAAUUAUAUCUUAACAUUUCGGUAGGAGAUAAAAUUAAUUGUUAUAUUUCAUUAAGAAAUACACGAUUCUUCCUUGUUGACUCGAAAGUGCAAAACAUUAUCCGAGAUUUCUUUUCACUUUCAAUGCUACUAUAAUAUUAAUAUUAUACACAAGCAAAUUUAUAUUGCACAAUUUAUUAUACACGAUUAGAUUGUAAUUACGGUAGUAGCGAUGAUACUUGUGCUUCUCGAAACUUAGAAAGCAAUAACAUUUAUAUGUAGUAACUCCGCAAUGUUAUUAUUUGUAACGUUUUUUAUCUGUGCAUGUUCGAAAUUUCUUUUUGCUGUUACAUAAUCCACUACAAGCAUAUAAAACUAGAUUUCGGGUAAUGGUACCAAUCUACCAAGGUAUCAUCUCAUACGAUAUUUUGGGAUUCCCAGUAUUAUAUUUCAAAUGAAAAUUAAAAUGAUGCAAUGUCGAUGAAACGUUAAUGUACGCCCCAAUAAUGCAAGAGCUGGCUACUCGCGCAUCUUCCCAACGUCAAUUCAGUAAAGUAAUUUUUAUCCUUAAACGAUUAACUCGCCGUUGCGAAAUAUUAGGUGAUAAAUUUAAUUUUUGCUGCUUUUACAUCGACAAAAUUGAUUUAUUUCGACGGGAAGAUGAACAAACGAAGAGCACAACAUUUGCAAUGACUCUAAAAAGAUAGAUACAUAUUUCGAGAAUGUUGUGUAAGAAUUUGAAAAAGAAAUCUCUAUAAUUUCCAGAGUUACCUUAUCGCGGUUCAUUUUUAAUUGAGUAGAAAAUCUCUUUGGUUUGGAGAAAUCUAACAUGUAAGAACAAAGUCACUUUCAACGGUGUCUAAACUAGUAGCUCUAAUAACGAGCUACAAGAAUUUAAUUUACCACCUAAUACUCGUUACUUGAUCAUUGCUGUCCAUCUAGGGCCUAGGGGAUUCUACUCGAAGCCAGGGAAGCGUUACAUUUAGACAACCCAACGAGUAUAAAUACUGGUUGUGUUAAUCGCUUGUGCACGUUAUAUAAAUCAAAUGGAGAUCAUUUAACGAAGCAUUACUGUUCGUCCUACUAGGAAGUUUUAGCGGUAACUGCUCUUUUCUUUUAUUAUUAAAACUACAGAGAGUCACCGCAUGUCUAUUCUAUACUUCUAGAUCUUUUAAAUUAAAAGGGAGAGAAGCAAUUUAAUUUAUCGAUAUAAUUAGUAAGUUGUUGCAAUAACUGUUGGCAAAAAUGUCAGCAAAUGCAUUGUUAAUACUUGACUAACUUUAAAGAGAAGUUCAAAAUAAAUGUGUCGAUCUACCAAUAUAACUAGUACCAUAUUAGUACCAUUGUUAAUAAUUGAUUAAUUUUAAAAAGAAGUUCAAAACACCUAAAUAUAUUAAAUUGAUCGGCUUGGUAAUUUUAAUGUUAAAUAAUAGAAAUUAUAUAUUAAUUCUAGUUAUGUGACACUUGAAAAAAUUGUUCUUGAAAAAGCCAUAUAUUCUAUACUGAAACAUUGACUAAUAAAUCGUCUUAUAUCGCAACGAGUUAUUAUUUUUUCUUACCACAUAGACUCAAAUUGCUUUGUUAACGAGGAAAAUAAUUACUACGUAUGAAUUAUCUAACCACGUAAGCAUCACUUAAUUGCAGAAAUGUACGCGUACUCUCUACUCUUGUGUAUCUCGUAUUCAGCUGUGUCAGUGACAUUGUAUCAGGGUGUUUCACGAUUACGUUGUUCUCGUCACAGUCGGAUUUAACCUGAUCGUAAACCAUAACGAGACAGAUCACAUGUUUCUCUUUGGCAAAGAUACAGUCACUAAUGAAGAAAUAAUUCAUGGCUAAUACUGCUUUAAAUGGUAGCAUGUCGAUCGAACAAUCAAUGGCGAAAGUCGCAUGACGUUAAGAAGUCGUAUGACUCGACACUUAUCGUUAGAAAAAGUCCUUUCGUCAUCACCGUUGCAUCAUUUCUCUCUCAAAAAGUGCGUCGUUAUACUUAAUCAUAUUACUAUUUACCAUAUCAUUACUUGAUUCUUAUUCGUUAUUCCAUUUUUAUUCAUUCAAGUGCUAUCAAAAACAUAGAAAACAGUUCUGUUUGUUCUGGAAAUAUGCAUCGUAAUUUUGUCUUAACUUCAUACAAGUUCAACCACUUAACUUUGCCUCCUUAAAUAGCUCUUCAAUGGACUAUCGUACAUGUAUAAAAUUUGUUCAUGCAAUAGUUGCGUGAUAUCAAAGGGACGUACAAUUAAUCAAUCGCUUUUACUUUGUUGGUUCACAGAGGUAUCGGGGUCAUCUUCGAUUUCUUUUUAAUUCCUUUAAUUCCUUAAAAAAAGGUGUCUUACGAAAACGUGUCAUAUAGAAUUAAAAUAUCUUACGAGUAGACUUUGAGACAUAGUAUCCCAUAUGGAACUCGUUAAGGCUACCGUUACCUAUUAAUUAAAAUGGUCAACUUUGGACAAGUGCCGUAGUCAUUGCGCUUUAUAAAUGAAACGAAUGAGGGAAUGGAAGUGUUUUCUACCACUCUAGGCCUUUUCCAAUAACUUGCAUACAAAAAAUAAAAGGAGACUAUGACGACCACCACGAAUGACUUUUGUUCACUUAUUGUUAGAUUGACUAUUUGUCAUGAAGGCUUUCUAUUUAGCCAAACGAAUGGCUGUUUCGAGCAUAUCCUGCAAAAGCAAGCUACUCCACAUUCCUGGACCACAACAAUGUCUAUAACUCAAGCAAGAAUCAAAUAGUGUAGAGUAAACAUAACGGUUCAUAAUACUUGACUUAUAAGAUUUCUGUGUGAAAUGAAUUGUAAUAAUUACCAAAUGUACUUUGAAACGUACCUGAAAUACUCUCAAAAUAAAAAAAAACAACUGUACAUAAACUUUUCUGAUUAAAAAAAAAAACACUCCAAGAAACUCUUAAUUCUUGGCCUCAUAAUGUGAUUUCCUCCCUUCCAUAUGUUUUCCAUAGUCUCUUGUUAGAAUAUUCAUUAAUUUCUUUCUUUACAAUGCUUUGCAUUCUCUUCGUUCUCUGAUAUCCUCAUUAAAUAUGAUAAUAGUUUGUUGGGGUUCACUGGUCCCCUAUAGCUCGUGUACCUCAGGAUUGCUAAACACGUACUGUAGCUACAAUCAAACAUAGCUACAACCCCUGAGGGCCACACUAGCCUAACGUACGGACAA